UAAAUUCUUUUACGGGCCUGGCCUUGAGAUUUUUAACCCUAAAAUGAGGAAAACUCGGGUUUUCUAUUGCAUGGCACUGAACAGGAGUGUCCCUCCAAUCUCAUUGUACAUCCUGUAUAAUGACAGUAAAGGUAUUCUAUUCUACUCUAUUUCAGUUCCAGAAAGAGAGCGAACUCCAAUUCUUCAGUUACCGGGAUGUCUACUGGGAUUUUCCCACACAGCCAUCUCUGGGGUUGAUGGAAAAUGGUCCAAAAAUAUUCAGUGAGCACCAGUUCUUUGGGAGGAAAUGCCUUGUUGGUCGCAGAGGUCGGAGGUCACAGAUUUAAACCUCCAGAUGAAGUUGGAACAAUCAGCUGAGCUCGUUGCCUUGUUGUCACGUCAGCUCCAAGGUCUUGGCAGGAGUGAAGACACCACCGGAA